GAAUGAACCCCAUAUCCAUCAUAGACCCCAUCUCCAUGCCAAGCCCUGAUUGGCCCAAUGCAAUUGAUUAGGGUUGACCAAUGGUCAAAACCCUAAUCUCAAGAUACUAUGCUCCAACACUUGAUGAUGUCAAACCAUGAUGAUGAUGAUGAAUCAUUGUAAACAAGAUGAAGACCAAUCUCCUUGAGAAUCACAAAACCCUACUUCAUAGCCCAAUCCUCAGAUCAGUCAAUAAAACCCUAGCUUGCUCUUUCACUUCCUCAUCUUAUGAUGAUGAUGAAUCAUUGUAAACAAGAUGAAGACCAAUCUCCUUGAGAAUCACAAAACCCUACUUCAUAGCCCAAUCCUCAGAUCAGUCAAUAAAAC
rnacentral:lncRNA from 1 species